rnacentral:rRNA from 1 species
AUUGAACGCUGGCGGCAGGCCUAACACAUGCAAGUCGAGCGGAUGAACGGUGCUUGCUCCUGGAUUCCGCGGCGGACGGGUGAGUAAUGCCCAUGAAUCUGCCUGGCAUUGGGGUAUGACGUCCGGAAGCGGGCGCUAAUACCGCAUACGUCCUGAUGGUGAACGUGGGGGAUCUUCGGACCUCACGCUAUCAGCUGAGACUACGUCGGAUUAGCUAGCUGGUGGGGUAAAUGCCUACCAAGGCGACGAUGCGUAACUGGUCUGAGAGGAUGAUCAGUCACACUGGAACUGAGACACGGUCCAGACUCCUACGGGAGGCAGCAGUGGGGAAUAUUGGGCAAUGGGCGAAAGCCUGACCCAGCCAUGCCGCGUGUGUGACGAAGGUCUUCGGAUUGUAAAGCACUUUAAGUUGGGAGGAACGGCAGUAAGUUAAUACCUUGCUGUUUUGACGUUACCAAGAGAGUAAGCACCGGCUAACUACGUG